UGCUCACGACCGUAGUUCUAGUUGUUUCACAGUACAGGUGCUGCACCAUGCGUCCAAGUCUUGAAGUUAACUAAAGUUAGCGUAUAUAACAGCCUAUAAAAUUAGGGAUCUGCUUUGUUUGGUUGCACACUAGCACAGACAAGAACCUGUUGAGUUCCACGCUACAAUUGUACGGUUCUACGGAAAAGUUCAUAUCCACUUUUCUCUUCGAGAUAGACAAGUAUGAGAAUGACAAAGUGGCGGAAUAAUGAAACUAAUUGUGACUUAAAAAAAAGAAUAUGAAUCCCGACAUCUUCGUCCGAGAACAGGACAUCUGACGCAGAAGGCGAGGGUGCAGUUUCCUGUUGACCGCGGAAACUUAUUCGAGCAUCCGAAGGAAAGUUUUCCGUUAAAACUGAGGAAGAUCCGUACCCAAGAAAAUUAAAAAAGAAGAGCGCAGGACUCAAGAGUUAAGAGCAAGGGUGAAGAGCAGUUGGAAUUUCCUCGAAGGCACAAAUUUAUAUUUGAAUUCUUUAUAGGAUACUCUAUUGGUAUAGAAAUAUGGGACACACAUAUUAAGUAUAUCUAAUAUUUUUAAAUGUAUUGUUUAUUUUCUUUAUUUUUUGUUAAUAAAUUAUUAUAUUUUGA